rnacentral:rRNA from 1 species
UGCAAGUCGAACGGUAACAGAAAGCAUCUUGCUGCUUUGCUGACGAGUGGCGGACGGGUGAGUAAUGUCUGGGAAACUGCCUGAUGGAGGGGGAUAACUACUGGAAACGGUAGCUAAUACCGCAUAACGUCGCAAGACCAAAGAGGGGGACCUUCGGGCCUCUUGCCAUCGGAUGUGCCCAGAUGGGAUUAUCUUGUUGGUGGGGUAACGGCUCACCAAGGCGACGAUCCCUACCUGGACUGAGAGGAUGACCAGCCACACUGGAACUGAGACACGGUCCAUACUCCUACGGGAGGCGGCAGUGGGGAAUAUUGGACAAUGGGCGCAAGCCUGAUGCAGCCAUGCCGCGUGUAUGAAGAAGGCCUUCGGGUUGUAUAGUACUUUCAGCGGGGAGGAAGGGAGUAAAGUUAAUACCUUUGCUCAUUGACGUUACCCGCAGAAGAAGCACCGGCUAACUCCGUGCCAGCAGCCGCGGUAAUACGGAGGGUGCAAGCGUUAAUCGGAAUUACUGGGCGUAAAGCGCACGCAGGCGAUUUGUUAAGUCAGAUGUGAAAUCCCCGGGCUCAGCCUGGGAACUGCAUCUGAUACUGGCUAGCUUGAGUCUCGUAGAGGGGGAUAGAAUUCCAUGUGUAGCGGUGAAAUGCAUAUAGAUCUGAAGGAAUACCGGUGGCGAAGGCGGCCCCCUGGACGAAGACUGACGCUCACGUGCGAAAGCGUGGGCGA